AACAAACGCUGGCGGCGUGCCUAAUACAUGCAAGUCGAACGGGGAAAGCUUUCGGGUGAGUACUAGUGGCGCACGGGUGAGUAACGCGUGGAUAAUCUGCCCUCGAAUGGGGAAUAACUAGUCGAAAGAUUAGCUAAUACCGCAUAAGACCACGACUACUGAGGUAGUUGGGGUCAAAGGAGCAAUUCGUUUGAGGAUGAGUCCGCGUAAGAUUAGCUAGUUGGUGAGGUAAUGGCUCACCAAGGCGAUGAUCUUUAACUGGUCUGAGAGGAUGACCAGUCACACUGGAACUGAGACACGGUCCAGAGUCCUACGGGAGGCAGCAGUAGGGAAUAUUGGACAAUGGGGGCAACCCUGGUCCAGCGACGCCGCGUGAGCGAUGAAGGCCUUCGGGUCGUAAAGCUCUGUUGUAAGGGAAAAAGUUCUGAUUGUACCUUACGAGAAAGGAUCGGCUAACUCCGUGCCAGCCGCCGCGGUAA
rnacentral:rRNA from 1 species